CAAGCGUGGAUGAUGUGGAUUAAUUCGAUGCAACGCGAAGAACCUUACCUACCUUGACAUGUCCGGAACUUGCCAGAGAUGGCUUGGUGCCCGAAAGGGAAUCGGAACACAGGUGCUGCAUGGCUGUCGUCAGCUCGUGUCGUGAGAUGUUGGGUUAAGUCCCGCAACGAGCGCAACCCUUGUCAUUAGUUGCCAUCAUUUGGUUGGGCACUCUAAUGAGACUGCCGGUGACAAACCGGAGGAAGGUGGGGAUGACGUCAAGUCCUCAUGGCCCUUAUGGGUAGGGCUUCACGCAUGCUACAAUGGCCGGUACAAAGGGCUGCGAUACCGCGAGGUGGAGCGAAUCCCAGAAAGCCGGUCUCAGUUCGGAUUGGGGUCUGCAACUCGACCCCAUGAAGUCGGAGCCGCUAGUAAUCGCAGAUCAGCAACGCUGCGGUGAAUACGUUCCCGGGCCUU
rnacentral:rRNA from 1 species